UACGAAGGGGGCUAGCGUUGCUCGGAAUCACUGGGCGUAAAGGGUGCGUAGGCGGGUCUUUAAGUCAGGGGUGAAAUCCUGGAGCUCAACUCCAGAACUGCCUUUGAUACUGAGGAUCUUGAGUUCGGGAGAGGUUGGUGGAAUUCUCGGUGUAGAGGUGAAAUUCGUAGAUAUCGAGAGGAACACCGGUGGCGAAGGCGGCCAACUGGACGAAUACUGACGCUGAGACACGAAAGCGUGGGGAGCAAACAGG
rnacentral:rRNA from 1 species